rnacentral:rRNA from 1 species
AACGAACGCUGGCGGCAUGCCUAACACAUGCAAGUCGAACGAGACCUUCGGGCCUAGUGGCGCACGGCUGCGUAACGCGGGGGAACCUGCCCUUGGGUUCGGAAUAACUCCCCGAAAGGGGUGCUAAUACCGGAUAAUGUCUUCGGACCAAAGAUUUAUCGCCUUUGGAUGGGCCCGCGUUGGAUUAGCUAGUUGGUGGGGUAAAAGCCUACCAAGGCGACGAUCCAUAGCUGGUCUGGGAGGAUGAUCCGCCACACUGGGACUGAGACACGGCCCAGACUCCUAGGCAAGGCAGCAGAGGGGAAUAUUGUACACUGGGCGAAGACCUGAUCCAGCAGCGCCGCGUAAGUGAUGCAGGGCUUAGGAUUGUGAUGCUCUUUUAACCGGGAUGAUAAUGACGGUACCGGGAGAAUAAGCACCGGCUAACUCCGUG